AUUGAACGCUGGCGGCAGGCCUAACACAUGCAAGUCGAACGAGUGGCGGACGGGUGAGUAAUGUCUGGGAAACUGCCUGAUGGAGGGGGAUAACUACUGGAAACGGUAGCUAAUACCGCAUACCAUCGGAUGUGCCCAGAUGGGAUUAGCUAGUGGGUGGGGUAACGGCUCACCUAGGCGACGAUCCCUAGCUGGUCUGAGAGGCUGACCAGCCACACUGGAACUGAGACACGGGCCCAACUCCUACGGGAGGCAGCAGUGGGGAAUAUUGCACAAUGGGCGCAAGCCUGAUGCAGGCAUGCCGGGUGUAUGAAGAAGGCCUUCGGGUUGUAAAGUACUUUCAGCGGGGAGGCGUUACUCGCAGAAGAAGCACCGGCUAACUCCGUGCCAGCAGCCGCGGUAAUAC
rnacentral:rRNA from 1 species